CUUAGAGUGAAGUGCCAGUAAGCUUCGAGUGUCACCGAGGGGUUGCAACAUAGACGCGGAAAGACGGCAAGAAUCACAGAAAGGUAUCGCGGCCGAUGUCCUCGGACAACCUGUUCCCAUUCGGCUCGUUUCAGGGAAAGCAAAAAACCACCGGCAAAAAUAUUGAAACAUGGACCAGUUGAGCUCAUGCAUUAAAAAAAA